UUGGAGAAAGGGAGAGGAGAAUCGGGGGAGACGAAGAACCGGAGGCCCGAGUUCAUGGGAGAAGGGUGAGGGAGAUGAUAGAAAAUGACGAAGCCGACAGCUAUUCUGCCGGAACCACCAGGGAAACAGGAGGUGAAGCAGAGGGGGAGGAAUAUCGCCUAGAAAAGAGACCCAGGCAAGAGGAUGAUAGCGUAGACCAAAAGCUGCAGAGGCUGAAAGAGCAGCUUUUGGUCGAGCUGAGAACGAAGGACCAGAACCAAACUCUCCUGCCUGCCUCUUCUCCUUUCUCGAAAUGGGUAC
rnacentral:lncRNA from 1 species